AAUCUCCAUUUUUAGACCUUUGGGAGGGGAGGAGUGGUCUGGAGGGUCAGAGUGGCUCUGGAUUUCCUCCUGAAAGGGUGGAGUUUGGAGUUGGUGUCUAGUCAGGAAUGGAAAAAUGGAAGCGUGCUUUGAUAAGUAGAUGAGAAAGGGAAGACACCCUCUAGGGAGGGUUCAGUUUUGCCCUUGUGUGAAGACAUCUGGAAAUGACUGACGUGAAAAGAAAAGUCAUUUUAAAAAAGCAUAACCAAAAAAUAAAAAAAAGAGGAAACCCAGACUCAUUUGGAAGAGGGACGGAGAACUGGAGGAUCUAUUAUCAACAUUAUAUGAAGCUGUGUGUCCUUUGGAAUCCCCUUCUUACCCUGACUGGACAAGCACACUGUGGCGACUGGGUGAGUUUCUCCUGGAAUGUCCCUCUUUUUUUUCUUGCAGGCUCCCCUCCAUCCACUUAGAGUUGGUGCCCUGGAAAAGGACUUGCCCCAGAUGAGCAAUACAAGCUGAGUGCCAGUCUUUUCCUGAUUUAUCAUGCUGUUCAUUAAUUCAUAUAUAAAAUGCAAUUUAGGCUCAGGCUCAGGAGCCCUCACUCCCUGACACUUUUUUUGCACGUUUGAUAAAUGAUUCCGCUGGAAGAGGCUUGAAGGGCAUCUGCAGUAAAUUGUGCUGAGGUCUAUUUUUCAAAACAUUUUUACACUUUCAGAGCCAAGGGGAGGCUAUCUCCUCUUAGAUAAGGGGAAGUGAGAAAGUUUAUAGCACUUACAUGCUGGGUUCUGAAUUCACUGGGAAGGAGAGGGAGGAACCCAUUCAUAGAAUAAACAUAACAGAUAUCGUAUCUCA
rnacentral:lncRNA from 1 species